AGCUAAAUUGCUAAAGUUUUGGUUUGCUAGACGUUUGCGUUAUGCGCCCAACCAUCCAUCUCGACCAAACACCCUACUUUCGUUUCAUCUGUCUUAUGUAACCAUACUAAACGUAACAUAUCAUACUAAUUUGAGUGUCCUGGAUUUACAUUACUAUGUUACGUCCAGUCUAUUAGACCAGGCUGUUCCCUCUGAGCCUCUUUUUCUUCCCCUAGUGUUUUAAACCCAGAUGUUAAGACGUGUUGUAAUGUGUUGUAAUGACCAGACCUACUUCCAGUCUGUCCAAAAACACAAGGACAUUCAGAUAGUAGGAGAAUAACCAGAGACCAGAGCUUGUGAAAGACUAGUCUCAAUGGGGAAUAAGGUGUUCUGUUCUAUUCUAUUCUAUUCUGCUCUGUUCUGUUCUAUUCUGUUCCAUUCUGUUGUGGGAGAGGGGUAGUUGGGAACAGGGAGAGGUUGACAUGGACCAGGGAGAGGUGUGAGAAAGAAGGGUGAGAGGAGAGGGCCCUAGUUUUGGUGCAGUUACAGGGGCAUUCAGUAUAGUAAACAGUCCACGGGUAAUGGGAGACUGGGAGCCCCAAAACAGACCAGGGGGGUAACGUCAAUCACAACAAAAGGCUUACAACCCACCCAGCUCUCCUGGCUCUGUGGUACUGAUGCUAGGAUAAGGACUGAUAGAUGGACACACACAGCCUGGGAAACAUCGCCCUCACAGCCUGAUGACUCAAUGCCUAAAGUAAGCUUGGCCGCUCUCUCUCACUUUCUCUCCCUCUGUCUGUCUCUCUCAAUCUCUUUCUUUCUUUCUUUCUUUCUUUCUUUCUUUCUUUCUUUCAAUCUCUAUCAAUUUCUCUCUCAAUUCUGUGUCAUCUCCUGAUCUGCAGACAGACAGACAGAUAGAGAUAGAGUAAGAGAGAGAGAGACAGAGCUGAGGGAUCAGCAUCAACUCUCCCACAGAGAGUGUAAACUAAAGCUGAGCAUGUUUACUUGACAUCAGAUGAUAUGAAUGUGUCUGUUCCUUCCAUGUAGGGCUGGAUGCUCGUUGAUGUCCUUAGAUUAGUUGUAUACAGUAGAGUCAUUGUUGUAUACAGUAGAAAGUCCUUUUUUUAAAAUAGUAUAAAGUCAUUGUUGUAAACAGUAGAAAGUCAUUGUUGUAAACAGUAGAGGCGCAGUGGAAAU
rnacentral:lncRNA from 8 species